AGAGUUUGAUCCUGGCUCAGAAUGAACGCUGGCGGCGUGCUUAACACAUGCAAGUCGAACGGUAACAGAGGAGCUUGCUCCUGCUGACGAGUGGCGCACGGGUGAGUAAUGCAUAGGUAACGUGCCCCUUAGUCUAGGAUAGCCACUGGAAACGGUGAUUAAUACUGGAUACUCCUUCUCUUUUAAUAAGAGUUGGGAAAGUUUUUCGCUAAGGGAUCGGCCUAUGUUGUAUCAGGUAGUUGGUGAGGUAAUGGCUCACCAAGCCUAUGACACAUAGCGGGUCUGAGAGGAUGAUCCGCCACACUGGUACUGAGACACGGACCAGACUCCUACGGGAGGCAGCAGUGGGGAAUAUUGCACAAUGGACGAAAGUCUGAUGCAGCAACGCCGCGUGGAGGAUGACACAUUUCGGUGCGUAAACUCCUUUUAUAUGAGAAGAUAAUGACGGUAUCAUAUGAAUAAGCACCGCUAACU
rnacentral:rRNA from 1 species